UACGGAGGGUGCUAGCGUUGUUCGGAUUUACUGGGCGUAAAGGGCGCGUAGGCGGCUAAUCAAGUUGGGUGUGAAAGCCCGGGGCUCAACCUCGGAACUGCACUCAAAACUGGUUAGCUUGAGGACGAGAGAGGAAAGUGGAAUAUCCAGUGUAGAGGUGAAAUUCGUAGAUAUUGGAUGGAACACCGGUGGCGAAAGCGGCUUUCUGGCUCGUAUCUGACGCUGAGGCGCGAAAGCGUGGGGAGCAAACAGG
rnacentral:rRNA from 1 species